rnacentral:rRNA from 1 species
GUAGGGGGCGAGCGUUGUCCGGAUUUAUUGGGCGUAAAGAGCUCGUAGGCGGUCUGUCGCGUCUGCUGUGAAAACUCGGGGCUUAACCCCGGGCCUGCAGUGGGUACGGGCAGACUAGAGUGCGGUAGGGGAGACUGGAAUUCCUGGUGUAGCGGUGAAAUGCGCAGAUAUCAGGAGGAACACCGGUGGCGAAGGCGGGUCUCUGGGCCGUAACUGACGCUGAGGAGCGAAAGCAUGGGGAGCGAACAGGAUUAGAUACCCUGGUAGUCCAUGCCGUAAACGUUGGGCGCUAGGUGUGGGGCUCUUUCCACGAGUUCCGUGCCGCAGCUAACGCAUUAAGCGCCCCGCCUGGGGAGUACGGCCGCAAGGCUA